UUUCAUUAGAACAGAGACAAGGAGAGGAACAACAUCGUUUGGCUAGGACAAGAAAGAGGUUCGAGAAUGUCGUCUGCUUGCUGUGUAUUCCUUGUCGUCACUUUGGCUGUCUUGACAUUAUCUGAUGGGCGUCCAAAUCGCAGCGGUUCAAGGUCAGGUUUAACCCCACUGCCCAAGCAAAAAGUACACGUUGGCUCUGGAGCAGGAAUGACUGAGACUGUCACUCAGGCACCAUCCAACAUCACCCGACGAUACCCAAACAGGGGAGGUGCACCGGGCUCUGGGCAAGAGCGUUUCCUUCCCAGCGGCAAACCACCGCAGGGAUCUGGUGCUGGACCUCUAAAGCGCAGAGGAUAGGGAAGAACCGCAUAAGUCGAGUCUGUCUCCCUGGAGCUGGUGGCGGGACGCGGGACUAUUUUAGAUCGUGAAGCCAAUAAGCUUAUCUAGUGUAUCGAUAAUUUCUCGCAGAAUCAAAAACGAUGUAUCAGGACUUUACUCCAUAAUAAUUUAGCUCCUUUCACUGCACAACCUUAUUUGAGUCCUAACGCAAAACUGGGAUGUGUGUCUUUCAUUAUAUUGGAUGUUCUAGUACGCUACUUCAAUUCCACUUCAGCGUCGCUAUUCCCAGGCGCUCUCGGUAAAGACCCGAGACUUCUGCCACAGCUAGACUGAACAUUGAACAUUCCUUCACGUGAUGCGGAAGUGAUGUUUUAGGUUUAGAUGUAUCAGUAAAUAAAUGCCUGAAUAAAU